GAUAUACUCCCUCCGUCCCGAAUUACUUGUCUCAAAAAUGGAUAGAAAUGGAUGUAUCUAGAACUAAAAAUACAUCUAGAUACAUCCAUGUCUGAGACAAGUAAUUCCGGACGGAAGGAGUAUAUU
rfam:Triticum aestivum genome assembly, contig: Triticum_aestivum_CS42_TGACv1_scaffold_030281_1BL